GGCUUGAUAGCUCAGUUGGUAGAGCACUGCACCGCAAUCACAGAGGUCAUGGGUUCGAAUCCCAUUCAAGCUU
rnacentral:tRNA from 1 species